rnacentral:rRNA from 1 species
UCAUAGAAUUUUUUAAAUUCAUGAUGUCGUAAGGGAAAAUAAUGAUAAUACCUUACUAUGAGUGUCGUCCAAAUCUGGUGCCAGAAGACUCGGUAAGACCAGAGACGCAAACGUUAAUCAUCAUAAACAGGCGUAAAGGGUUUGUAGGCAGCUUUUAUAGGAUUAUUAUAAAAAGGUAAUUUAAAUUAAAAGCUAGAAUCAAAAAGAGGUUAUAGUGUAUAACGCCUAGAGGAGGGCUGAUAUCCGUAGAUCCUAGGCAGAAUACUCAGGGCGAAGGCCACUCUCCACUAAUGAUUGACGCUGAGAAACGAAGGUUAGGGUAGGAAAUAGGAUUAGAUACCCCGGUACUCCUUUCUGUAAACGAUGAAUGGUAGUCAUUAGUAAAAAUAACUAGAGGCGAAGUUAACACAAUAACCAUUCCGCCUUGUGAGUACUACUGCAAAGUAGAAAACAAAAAAAUUAGUCGGUCUCGAAGCAAACGGAGUGAAGCAUGUUAUUUA